GCACACGUGCUGUCCGUGCUCCCUCAGGCUGACCUGCCACGGCCACUGGCCCGGCUGGGCAUUCUGCCCCGACACGAUGCGGCCUGACACGUGUGGGCGUCCGCACACUGCGGGGACCCCGUGCUCCAGGGGAGGACUCGGGCGGUGCCCCGCAGCUGAGCUGGGGGAAGCGGGAGCUGGGGCCCUAAAUGGCUCCUGGGACAGCCCGAACGCGGCUCGGUACGGUACGGGUGGACGCUGAGGUCUGGGGUGGCUGAAUGAGGGUCCCCUCCCCCCCCCCUCCCCGCGUCUGGGCUCCUUGGAGGACCUGCCCCGCACAGGCUAUGAGGCGCGGGCCGGGGAUCACACAUCGGCUGCACCUGCCCCUCCUCUCGGCACCCCGAUAUUCGUCCUACCUGAAUCCAGGCCUGUCGCGCUGGCGUUCACCAGGGAGAAGUUGGGUGGGAGAGCAGGGGGACUCCCCUGCAGAGCCACGGAGAGGAGGGAGAGCAGGCUGGCGGCGAGGGCCGGCGACAUGGUAUGUCCCAGCCACCACUUCCGCGGCGGGCCCUUGGGGUCAGAGUCCUCAGACACUCAGGGGGGAGAAGAUGGCCGCAGCCAAGCCCAGGUUCUGGGCUUGUCCUGGGGUGUGGCUGACUCCUCCGCGCCUUGCCCUUGGGGCUCGGCUCCGCACUGCUCCUGGGCACAGGGUCCUUGGCCUCCGCCACGUCUUCGGCCAGACGCUCGGGACCUUCCCUCCCCCGCCCUGGCCUCACUGGCCUCGCGGCACCAACCGCGCCACCACUCACGGGGCUGGCACCGCUUCCCGUGUUCUGGCCUGUGUCCCGCGUGUCACAUGCCUCCCGAGUGCGCUAUUAUCCCCCUAUGCGGCAGAGGAAGAGGAACUCCCGUGGUAUAAUGACUCACCGGAGGCCGUACAGGUCACUGGUCAACUGCUGAGUGUGAGACUGAGGAGGUAAAAUACACACAGCCUUGUGCUGGGGUUGGAAUGUUUGUCUCCCCUCCCCCCCCCCCCCCCAAGUUCAUAUAUCGGAAUCCGUAGGUUGAAGCCCCAGGUGAUGUGUUUAGAGGUGGGACCUUUGCAAAGCAAUUAGGUCCGAAGGGUGGAGCCCUCAUGAGUGGGAUCAGUGCCCUUACAAGGCCACGUGAGGACACAGGGCAAUGGCAGCAGCUAUGAACCAGGAAGGGGCCCUUCCCAGACACCUUGACCUCAAACUUCCAGCCCAGGAACUGUGAGAAAUAAAUAUUCGUUGUUUAUGAGCCACCCACCCACUUUAUGGUAUUUUGUCAGCCAGCAAAGCAUUUGACUCAGAAAUGAUGUCACAUCCCUCCUCUUCUACGUCGGCUCGUCCCGUUCCUCGUGUCUGCCGAGCUCGUGGUGGGAACUCGGUCUCCCCGUGGACUUACAUAAGCUAGGCCAGUUCACAGUCCCGGACAGAUGCCUGGGACAUCUGGUGCCAACAUCAGGACACCAGUCUGCUGCCGGGGAGUCUAGAACUUGGCCUUCUCUUUGUCGUUUCUCAACCCUUGAUUUUAUUUUACUUAACACACUUCUUGGUUUGUAUUCAUUUUUUUAUGUUUUAUUUAUUUUUGAGAGAGACAGAGAGCGCGCG